AGUGAACGCUGGCGGUAGGCCUAACACAUGCAAGUCGAACGGCAGCACAGUAAGAGCUUGCUCUUACGGGUGGCGAGUGGCGGACGGGUGAGGAAUACAUCGGAAUCUACUUUUUCGUGGGGGAUAACGUAGGGAAACUUACGCUAAUACCGCAUACGACCUACGGGUGAAAGCAGGGGAUCUUCGGACCUUGCGCGAUUGAAUGAGCCGAUGUCGGAUUAGCUAGUUGGCGGGGUAGAGGCCCACCAAGGCGACGAUCCGUAGCUGGUCUGAGAGGAUGAGAGGCGAAAGGGGGACGGAGAGGCGGCCGAGACUGCGAGGGGAGGCAGGAGUGGGGAAUAUUGAACAAUGGGAGGAAGGAUGAAGCAGCAACGACGCGUGCGGGAUGACGGCAUGCGGGCCGGAAACAGCUGGAGCCGGGGACGAAGGGGGAGGGACGGGAAGGGGUAAAGAAGCACGGGCUAACUACGUG
rnacentral:rRNA from 1 species